rnacentral:tRNA from 1 species
GCGGAAGUGGCGGAAUUGGUAGACGCACCAGAUUUAGGUUCUGGCGCCGCAAGGUGUGAGAGUUCAAGUCUCUCCCUCCGCACCA